rnacentral:rRNA from 1 species
GAUAAACGCUGGCGGCGUGCCUAAUGCAUGCAAGUCGAACGGGGUCUCACUUUGGUGAGAUCGAGUGGCGAACGGGUGAGGAACGCGUGGAGAACCUACCCCGGCGUGGGGGAUACCCGCCAGAAAUGGCGGCUAAUACCGCGUACGGUCCAGGGGCGAGAGGCUGCCUGGAAGAAAGCCGCGAGGCGCGCUGGGAGGGGUCUGCGCCCGAUUAGCUGGUUGGCGGGGUAACGGCCCACCAAGGCGAUGAUCGGUAGCUGGUCUGAGAGGAUGAUCA